GACGAACGCUGGCGGCGUGCCUAAUACAUGCAAGUCGAGCGGAUCUUCAUUAGCUUGCUUUUGAAGAUCAGCGGCGGACGGGUGAGUAACACGUGGGCAACCUGCCUGUAAGACUGGGAUAACUUCGGGAAACCGGAGCUAAUACCGGGUAAUCCUUUUCCUCUCAUGAGGAAAAGCUGAAAGUCGGUGUACGCUGACACUUAUAGAUGGGCCCGCGGGGCAUUAGCUAGUUGGUGAGGUAACGGCUCACCAAGGCGACGAUGCGUAGCCGACCUGAGAGGGUGAUAGGCCAACCUGGGACUGAGACACGGCCCAGACUCCUGCGGGAGGCAGCAGUAGGGAAUCUUCCGCAAUGGACGAAAGUCUGACGGAGCAACGCCGCGUGAGCGAUGAAGGCCUUCGGGUCGUAAAGCUCUGUUGUUAGGGAAGAACAAGUAUCGGAGUAACUGCCGGUACCUUGACGGUACCUAACCAGAAAGCCACGGCUAACUACGUGCCAGCAGCCGCAGUAAGAC
rnacentral:rRNA from 1 species